GGCUUGAGGACCGUAUUCAUGGAAGAGGAUUGAACAGACUACUGAGUUCUUAAGAGAAAAAUGGCACUUAAGAAAUUGAUGGUGAUAUCAAAGGAAGGUUACUUAUUACUCUUGGACUUUGAUGAUGAGGACGAUGACAUAAAAGUUUCAGAGGAGGCUCUUGCGGAAGUAAAGAGCCCAGGAUUUGAUAAAAAUGAGAAUAUAUCGCCUCAAGCAGAAGCAGAUGAAUAUAUGGGAGAUGAAGUAGACAGUAUGUUGGAUAAAUCUGGAGUAAAGAACCCAGCAAUUGGUAAAGAUGAGAAUAUAUCGCCUCAAGUAAAAGGAGAUGAAGACAUGGGAGAUGAAAUUGACAGUAUGUUGGCUACAUCUGGAGGUCUUUUCUCCUGAGAACACGGGACUCCAGCAUCUUCGGAUUCUGCUCUUGGAGGUGUGAGUCCCUGCCUCUCUGCACAGGGGAACUUAUGUCUCUCCACAUGUCCGCAAAUGUCUACCCAAGAUUAUACAUCUUCCAAAGGCUUUCAAAUACUUCUUUACAUAAACAAGGGGUUUGCCCCACAUCCUCUAUAUUGCAGAAAACAAGACUAGGCUCUACCUCUGUAGAUCAAGCACGACUGAAAUCCGUGCUCUCAAAAGAUGCUGGGGAGAAAGAGUGCCAUUCUUCACAAAUGCUGCUGCAUCAUUGGACUGAAAGUGAAUGGCCCAUGUGUUGCCACUGAUGUGAGCCAUUUGCAAGCC
rnacentral:precursor_RNA from 1 species